UCAAGCUUUUGGAAGGAGGCACAUCCUUGAGCAGAGUGGCCCUCUUCAUACGAAUCCAUCUCAAAGGAGACCGACAGCUGCCAUGUCUUAGCAUCCCACUGGGGCCACGCAACCCUGCCAAGAAAGAACCAGAAGUGUGAAGAGCAGCAUGGGCGUUUCAGCCUCACCACACCUUUGUUUUGCCUAUAUUCGGGGUCUGAAGCCACACAAGUGACCCUGGAGAAGGAUUCUUCCCCAACUGAACCUUGAGAUGAAAGCGGCCCGGGGGCAACCCUACUACUGCCUUGAGAGAAGAUCCAGACAGAUGCAACUUGACCCACAGAAA